UGAUUUUAUAGUAAUGCCCGGUUGCAAUUAUUGGCCGCCAUCUUUGAUUUUUAUAGACGUUCGGGCCAAAAAAAAGGAGAAAUGUAUAUCCAGACAUGGACUAUAGCUAGAUACUAACUUUUGUGUUAGUUGUUUAUUUGAAAUGUAAUCUUAAUAUUUCUGUAAAAGAAAAAAACAACAACAAACAAAUCAGCCUUUUUUUUAUAUCAAUGUCAUCAAUGUGUAGGCCUAAUAAUUAGACUUUCAAUGAUUCAGAAGUUUCUCUACAGUUUCGUUAUUUUUUUUCCAGUCAUUGAUGUUAGCAUGUACUACACAAAGAAAAACAGUUUCCAUAUUAGAUGCCAUAGCAAAUCAAAGAUCAUAUAAUAAAAUAAGUCAAAAAACCCAAAUAUGGGAAAAAAAAGAGCUGAAGAAAUGGUGAUUUGAGCACCUAUGAUUUCUCAUAGUUGUUUUUUGAGGAAAGAUCAAGACAGUUGAAAAUGGCUAUUCAUAUUAUGGAAACUUUUUCUCACAGAGCUUGAUAAUCAGGUAAAAUG